UAGGUUUAGCCGAAUGGAUUUGAUCAUCAUCAGUCAAAUUCACCGUCAGUAAAUUUUUAGCGGAGAGCGCAUUGAAACGGCUCAACACUUAUUUUACUCGGAGUAAUCUUAUCUCAAUGUUUGAGCCGUGAAUCUGUUGCUGUGAUAUAAUUGUUUUGUUUUGCCGAUAAAAACGAAGUGCUUCAGAGUGAUUGAUACUGACGGAAUAAAAGUGUUUUACCGUAGUUUGUAAAUUACAAGUAUUUUUGUGGGUAUUAUUAGGUAACAUCUCGUGCCGACGAAUUAUAAAAUUGUCGAACUUAUUCAAUAGAGCCAGUGAACAUUGAUAAUGUUAAAAUCACCAUAAUUAUUAAAAGUAACCUGUUUUGUAUUCUUCUGAUCGCGGUUGUUCCAUUGUGUGAACCAUGGAAUCCCUGAAGAAGAAAGGUCGCCCACCUCAUCCAAGGGCCAAAGCCAACCCAUUAUCAGCAUUAACAUUUUCAUGGACUCUUCCAAUGUUUUUCGGAGGGCUGAAGAAGGAAAUGGAAGAGCAUGAAUUAUAUGAACCUCUAGAUGAGCAUGCUUCUGGU